UACGUAGGGUCCGAGCGUUGUCCGGAAUUAUUGGGCGUAAAGGGCUCGUAGGCGGUCUGUCGCGUCGGGAGUGAAAUCUUACAGCUUAACUGUGAACUUGCUUUCGAUACGGGCAGACUUGAGGCAUUCAGGGGAGAACGGAAUUCCUGGUGUAGCGGUGAAAUGCGCAGAUAUCAGGAGGAACACCGGUGGCGAAGGCGGUUCUCUGGGACGGUACUGACGCUGAGACGCGAAAGCGUGGGGAGCGAACAGG
rnacentral:rRNA from 1 species